rnacentral:rRNA from 1 species
GAUGAACGCUGGCGGCGUGCCUAAUACAUGCAAGUCGGGCGAACGGACGAGAAGCUUGCUUCUCUGAUGUUAGCGGCGGACGGGUGAGUAACACGUGGAUAACCUACCUAUAAGACUGGGAUAACUUCGGGAAACCGGAGCUAAUACCGGAUGAUAUUUUGAACCGCAUGGUUCAAAAGUGAAAGACGGUCUUGCUGUCACUUAUAGAUGGAUCCGCGCUGCAUUAGCUAGUUGGUAAGGUAACGGCUUACCAAGGCAACGAUGCAUAGCCGACCUGAGAGGGUGAUCGGCCACACUGGAACUGAGACACGGUCCAGACGCCGACGGGAGGCAGCAGUAGGGAAUCUUCCGCAAUGGGCGAAAGCCUGACGGAGCAACGCCGCGUGAGUGAUGAAGGUCUGCGGAUCGUAAAACUAUGUUAUUAGGGAAGAACAUAUGUGUAAGUACUGUGCACAUCUUGACGGUACCUAAUCAGAAAGCCACGGCUAACUACGUG